rnacentral:tRNA from 1 species
UGCGUAGCUCAGUGGUUAAAAACUAUAGAGCGUUUGACUGCAGAUCAAAUGGUCAGGAGUUCAAAAACUUAUAAUGAAAA